GACAGAGGGUGCAAACGUUGUUCGGAAUUACUGGGCGUAAAGCGUGUGUAGGCGGCCUUGCAAGUCGGAUGUGAAAGCCCCGGGCUCAACCCGGGAAGUGCACCCGAUACUGCUAGGCUCGAGUACCGGAGAGGUUGGUGGAAUUCUCGGUGUAGAGGUGAAAUUCGUAGAUAUCGAGAGGAAUACCGGUGGCGAAGGCGGCAUCCUGGACCGACAUUGACGCUGAGGAGCGAAAGCUAGGGGAGCAAACGGG
rnacentral:rRNA from 1 species